GUUACCAUCCUCCCCCCGGGCAACCCCCGGGACAAUGCAAAAAAACUAAUCCCGGGGGUAGGGAAUUGUUUGAAUAAUUUUGUCCCGGGGGUUACCCCCGGGUAAAAAGCAAAGAACCAAACAAAAAAUGCCAGAGGUCAACCUAAUAAGUCAAUCUCAUACUUAGGACUUUGUUUGGUUGCACAUCAAAAUGGUGGCUAUAAACUCUUUUGCUUAUAAACUCGAUGCAUUAGUGUUAAUUUGAGCUUGUAUUUUGAAUGCUUUGUUACACAAGUCUAACCAGGGCCGGAACUACGGGGGGAGGGGUGAAAUUUUAUCAGUCGCCAGGACUGCCAUCUCGGUCGGCAAAAGUAUGCAGGGGGGUCAGUCGGUUCAAAUGACCUUAAAUUAAACCCCCCUGGAAAAAAACUUUUGGGGGGAUGACCCUGAGUCAAACUAGUGCAUUCAUUGUAAACAUUAUUUAAGUUAUCACUGUUAAA